rnacentral:misc_RNA from 1 species
GUGAAUCAUCAAAUUUUUGAACGCAAAUUGCACUUUCUGGUAUUCCGGAGAGUAUGCCUGUUUGAGAGUCAGUUAAAUAAAAAUCGGUUUUGUUGCUGCUGUUCGUGGUGACGCUGCGGAAUUAAGUUGUCUUACCUUCGGUUAAGUAACUUAAAAUUUUUCAUGAUUUUCGUACUUAUGUAAAUUUCUGACUUACGUUUGAGAUAUCGACGACUGUAUUAGGUUCGUGCAUCGUCAUGA